GGAAGGUUGUCCGAAUUGGUAAGGAACCGGUCCCGAAAACCGGCGUCGCUCUGCGGCUUGGGCGUUCGAAUCGCCCACCUUCCGCCA
rnacentral:tRNA from 1 species